AAAUGAAAGAGAGAGAUAGAGAGCAUUUGGUAGAGUGAGGAAAAGAAGGAAGCUGCACAACACUCAAAGCCAAGACUGUUCCACUAUCUCUUCAUCUACGACGAUUAUUUUCAUAUUCAUGUUUAUGAAAUGAAGAGUGUCCUUGUGGUGAUGGUAUUAUCAACUACUAUAUAACAAAAGUUACAUUUCAAAUAAAGAAGACACUGUAGUAUCAUUAUUAACAUCAAAUGGAUUAUUAUGAGUUGCAUCUUGAGGAAUUGAACUGCUUAUAUUUAGUUGUGACUCA